rnacentral:rRNA from 1 species
UACGUAGGGUGCGAGCGUUAAUCGGAAUUACUGGGCGUAAAGCGUGCGCAGGCGGUUCGUUAUGUCCGAUGUGAAAGCCCCGAGCUUAACUUGGGAAUGGCAUUGGAAACUGGCGGGCUGGAGUGCGGCAGAGGGGGGUGGAAUUCCGACGUGUAGCAGUGAAAUGCGUAGAGAUGUGGAGGAACACCGAUGGCGAAGGCAGCCCCUGGGCCGACACUGACGCUCAGGCACGAAAGCGUGGGGAGCAAACAGG